GACGUAGGGGGCAAGCGUUGUCCGGAAUCAUUGGGCGUAAAGCGAGCGUAGGCGGCCCGAUAAGUCUGCUGUAAAAGUCAACGGCUCAACCGUUGAAAGCCGGUGGAUACUGUCGGGCUAGAGUUCGGAAGAGGCAAGUGGAAUUCCUGGUGUAGCGGUGGAAUGCGCAGAUAUCAGGAGGAACACCUAUAGCGAAGGCAGCUUGCUGGGACGAUACUGACGCUAAGGCUCGAAAGCGUGGGGAGCGAACAGG
rnacentral:rRNA from 1 species